UUAAAUAAUCUUAUAUAAUUACAAUUUAUUUUAUAAAAUCAUUAUUAUCACCAACUUGCGAAUUAAUUUUAUCAUUUAAUACCUGAAAAGUAAAUUAUUAUUAUAAUUUAAAUAUAAAUAAAUAUUAGUACCUUUUGCAUAAUGGUUUAACAAAAUUUAAUAUAAUUAUUUAUCCCGAAUAUAAAUGAGUUAAUAUAAUUUUGUUAAGAACUUAUAAAUUUUAUUGUAACAAUAAUAUAUUUAAAAAUUAUAUUAGAGGCUACAUCCCAUACGCAUUUAUACAUAGCUGGUUAAUCUUUAAAAUUUUUAUAAGAAAAAAUAUGAAUAAUUUAUAUUCAUCAUAAUUUCUUUUAGGAUAAGCUAAAAGAAUAUAUUAAUAAUAAUAAAAGAAAUUAAAUUUUAUAAUCUUUAAAACAGUUAAUAAAUUUAAAAAACGUUUCAGUUUAAACAUUUUAAAUCAAAAAUAAUAAUAAAUAUAAUAUAAAAAGAUUUAAUUAUUUAAAAUUUACUAAAACUAUAUAUAAUGUUAAAAUAAGUAUUAUUAAAAUUACAAUAUAAAACAUUAUUAAAAUCUAUAAAUAUUAUACAAUAUAUAAAAAUAAUAAACUUUGCAACAUUAAAAUUCGCCUGUUUAUCAAAAACAUCGUUUUUAGAAUAAAUAUUAAAAAUAAUUCCUGCCCAGUGAAAUAAAUUUAACGGCCGCAGUAUCCUAACUGUGCAAAGGUAGCAUAAUCAUUUGCCUUUUAAUUGAAGGCUAGAAUGAAUGGAUAAACGAAAUUUUUCCUGUAUCAUUUUUAUAAAAUAUAAAUUAUAUUUUAGGUGAAAAUACCUAAAUUUUAAAGAAAGACAAAAAGACCCUAUAGAAUUUAAAUAUAUUUAACAAUAAACUAUUUUAGUUGGGGCGACUAAGGAUUAUACAAAACAUCCUAAAUAUAAAAGAUUAUAUAAAUCAAAUUAUAGAUCCUAUACUUAUAGAAUUAAAAACAAAACUACCUUAGGGAUAACAGACUUAUAUUUCUUUAAAGUUCAAAUUUACAGAAAAGAUUGGCACCUCGAUGUUGGCUUAGAGUAACCAAAUGAUGAAACAGUCAUUUAAGGUUAGUUUGUUCAACUAAUAAUUCUCUACAUGAGCUGAGUUCAGACCGGCGUAAGCCAGGUUAGAUUCUAUCUUCUAUACUAAAUUAAAUAUUAGUACGAAAGGACCAUAUUUUAAAAUUUAUAAUAAAUUUAUUAUAAAGAAAUCAAUUAAUUAAUAUAUUAAUUAAAUUAUUA
rnacentral:rRNA from 1 species